UACAGAGGUCUCAAGCGUUGUUCGGAAUCACUGGGCGUAAAGGGUGCGUAGGCGGCGGAGUAAGUCGGGUGUGAAAUUUGAGGGCUCAACCUUCAACUAGCACCUGAUACUGCUUCGCUCGAGGCCUGAAGAGGAGCUUGGAAUUCUCGGUGUAGCAGUGAAAUGCGUAGAUUUCGAGAAGAACGCUCGCAGCGAAAAGCGAAGCUCUGGUCAGGUUCUGACGCUGAGGCACGAAGGCUAGGGGAGCAAACGGG
rnacentral:rRNA from 1 species